GAAUGAUCAGUUAACCAAGAAAAAAGCUCAAAUUGCUCAUAUGAUGGAAAAGACAUCAGAAGUGAGGAAGAUGACAGACGAGUUGAAGCAGAGUCUUUCUUUGGCUACAAAGGAAAAACUUGAGCUGGAAGAGGAGCGGGGUCGUAAAUCUAAUUACAUUCAAAAGAUGGCAAAACGGGUCAAGAUGUUUGAACAACAAAUACGUGAUAUGGAUGAGCAGAAUAUUAGAAAUACACAGGCUGAAGAGCUUGACAUGGAGGUGAAACUGAAGGAGUUCCAAGCUGAGAUUGACAGUGCCAAUGUUGUAUUUCAAAGGUUGAGGAAUGAAGAAGAUAACCUAAUAGAUAAAAUUAAUCAGGCGAAGGAUCAGAUAAACAAAAUUGUUCAUGAGAUUGAAGAGAAUGACAAGAGGGAUCGUGACAUUCGCUCUCGCAUUCGUGAGUUGCAACUUCAUCAAAGUAACAAGGUUACGGCCUUUGGAGGAGGCAGAGUGAUGGGCCUCUUGGAGGUAAUUGAAAGACAACAUAGAAAGUUCAACAGGGCGCCGAUCGGUCCAAUAGGUGCUCAUGUGAGCUUGGUUGAUGGUGACAAGUGGGGUACUGCUAUUGAAUGUGCCGUUGGCAAGGUGCUUAAUGCUUUUAUUGUAAAUGAUCAUAAAGAUUCCCUUUUAUUAAGAGCAUGUGCAAGGGAAGCGAACUACAAUCACUUACAGAUUAUCAUUUAUGAGUUCUCUAGACCAAGGUACUGAUCCUUCUCUAUGUGUUUGACGUUUGUGUAUAUUGACA
rnacentral:misc_RNA from 1 species